rnacentral:rRNA from 1 species
UACGAAGGGGGCUAGCGUUGCUCGGAAUUACUGGCGUAAAGGGCGCGUAGGCGGAUAUUUAAGUUAGAGGUGAAAGCCCAGGGCUCAACCCUGGAAUAGCCUUUAAUACUGGAUAUCUUGAGUUCGGGGAGAGGUGAGUGGAACUCCGAGUGUAGAGGUGAAAUUCGUUAGAAUAUUCGGAAGAACACCAGUGGCGAAGGCGACUCACUGGCCCGAGUACUGACGAC